rnacentral:rRNA from 1 species
UACGAAGGGGGCUAGCGUUGCUCGGAAUGACUGGGCGUAAAGGGCGCGUAGGCGGCCGCCUAAGUCAGACGUGAAAUCCCUCGGCUCAACCGGGGAACUGCGUCUGAUACUGGGUGGCUUGAAUCCGGGAGAGGGACGUGGAAUUCCAGGUGUAGCGGUGAAAUGCGUAGAUAUCUGGAGGAACACCGGUGGCGAAGGCGACGUCCUGGACCGGCAUUGACGCUGAGGCGCGAAAGCCAGGGGAGCAAACGGG